GAGAGACGACGGAUUUACAUCCCAGACACAUUCGCUCUGGGCCAAGAGCAGCUGCCCUUGCAGAGUCCAGUCACGUACGUUCCCCCUCCCUCUCCUGUUAGGAAUUGUCCAGAACAGAAGCUGGGGAGGUGGGGGUGG
rfam:Tupaia chinensis contig194719, whole genome shotgun sequence.